GAAAUCAGUCCGAAAUUCCUGCCUCAUUCUCUCUUGUUCUCUCCAGGCCUCGCUACCUGCUUCCCUCCGUCGCUUCUCUCGUUCUGAAAUGGCCCGGGUCGUCAUGGAGAAGAAUCAGUACAAAGAGCGACUGUUCGAACUGCAGGAAUCUCUGCGGCGUGCUCAGCUUCAGAGAGUUAUAAAAGUAGAGCACCCCCCUGUGGAAGGGAAGGGUAGUGUCUGGAGCAGGUUUAAUCAUUUUCUAGGUUUGACAAAGGGUCAGUUAGCUCCAGCCACAGCUCUAGCAUUAACCGUCUCUCCUACACCAGUUUCUGCACAAACACCAGUGGGGUCUCCACAGCAACUCUCUACAAAAUCACCCCAAACAGAUGGUGGAAACAGGCUUCCAUACCAUAUGACCUUGGAGGUUGCUCUACAUGAUUGACCUUUUUCAUGAUUGACCA
rnacentral:lncRNA from 1 species